ACGAAGGGGGCUAGCGUUGUUCGGAAUCACUGGGCGUAAAGCGCGUGUAGGCGGAUUGUUAAGUCAGGGGUGAAAUCCCGGGGCUCAACCUCGGAACUGCCUUUGAUACUGUGAAUCUUGAGUCCGAUAGAGGUGGGUGGAAUUCCUAGUGUAGAGGUGAAAUUCGUAGAUAUUAGGAAGAACACCAGUGGCGAAGGCGGCCCACUGGAUCGGUACUGACGCUGAGGUGCGAAAGCGUGGGGAGCAAACAGGA
rnacentral:rRNA from 1 species